rnacentral:rRNA from 1 species
GAUGAACGCUGGCGGCGUGCCUAAUACAUGCAAGUCGAGCGACCGCACGAGAAGCUUGCUUCUCUGCUGUUAGCGGCGGACGGGUGAGUAACACGUGGAUAACCUACCUCUAAGACUGGGAUAACUUCGGGAAACCGGAGAUACUACCGGAUAAUAUUUUCAACCGCUUGGUUCAAAAGAGAUUGACGGUCUUGCUGUCACUUAUAGAUGGAUCCGCGCUGCAUUAGCUAGUUGGUAAGGUAACGGCUUACCAAGGCGACGAUGCAUAGCCGACCUGAGAGGGUGAUCGGCCACACUGGAACUGAGACACGGUCCAGACUCCUACGGGAGGCAGCAGUGGGGAAUCUUCCGCAAUGGGCGAAAGCCUGACGGAGCAACGCCGCGUGGGUGAUGAAGGUCUUCGGGUCGUAAAACUCUUUUGUUAGGGAAGAACAGAUGUGGAAGUAACUGUGCACGUCUUGACGGUACCUAAACAGAAAGCCACGGCUAACUACGUG